ACGACCAUAUCACGUUGAAACACUGUUUCUAGUACGAUCGCCAAAGUUAAACAACCUCGAGCUUGGUCAGUACCAAGAUGGGUGACCGCUUGGAAAUACAGGA